AUAAAUCACAUACAAUGACAAUUUGAGAUGAAAUUGCCAAAACAAAACAUGUACAAAGAAAGUACAAUGUGGUUCAUCCAGUGUCAAUCUUUGCUAUUUCCUUUGCCUUUCACAAUUCUUUUUUUUUUUUUUUUUUUUUUUCCACUAACAUUUGAAAUUCACAGUAAAAC
rnacentral:ribozyme from 1 species